ACGGGAGGCAGCAGUGGGGAAUAUUGCACAAUGGGGGAAACCCUGAUGCAGCGACGCCGCGUGAAGGAAGAAGUAUUUCGGUAUGUAAACUUCUAUCAGCAGGGAAGAUGAUGACAGUACCUGACUAAGAAGCCCCGGCUAACUACGUGCCAGCAGCCGCGGUAAUACGUAUGGAGCAAGCGUUAUCCGGAUUUACUGGGUGUAAAGGGUGCGUAGGUGGCAGGGCAAGUCAGAUGUGAAAGACCGGGGCUCAACUCCGGGGCUGCAUUUGAAACUGUCUUGCUGGAGUGCAGGAGGGGCAAGCGGAAUUCCUAGUGUAGCGGUGAAAUGCGUAGAUAUUAGGAGGAACACCGGUGGCGAAGGCGGCUUGCUGGACUGAAACUGACACUGAGGCACGAAAGCGUGGGGAGCAAACAGGAUUAGAUACCCUGGUA
rnacentral:rRNA from 1 species